CUACCGCCAUAGCGACCCACGCGGGCGCUAUGGGGCCCGCAGCCGAGUGGGGCCCGGCAGUGUUGCCAACAGGAAGCCUGCAGGACUCGGCAAAGAUCGUACAAACUCGGCUGGGCGGCUCAUGCGCAGUAGCGAAAUGUCGCCAUCUGGCGCCAUUUUUGAAUGGGCAGUGGCGCGUCUCGGCAGUAUAUCAGUGGAGCGGGCUUUGGAGUCGGGCAAGGCGGUGCAAACUAUUCCUGCCCUAUGACUGCGGAUGAAUUCCCCUCCCAGCACCUUCUGCAGCCUGCCCACCACCAAACUGGAU